rnacentral:rRNA from 1 species
UACGAAGGGGGCAAGCGUUGUUCGGAAUUACUGGGCGUAAAGCGCACGUAGGCGGAUUUGUAAGUCAGGGGUGAAAUCCCGGGGCUCAACCUCGGAACUGCCUUUGAUACUGCAAGUCUUGAGUCCGGAAGAGGUGAGUGGAAUUCCUAGUGUAGAGGUGAAAUUCGUAGAUAUUAGGAAGAACACCAGUGGCGAAGGCGGCUCUCUGGGACGGUACUGACGCUGAGACGCGAAAGCGUGGGGAGCGAACAGG